GAUGAACGCUGGCGGCGUGCCUAAUACAUGCAAGUCGAGCGAACGGACGAGAAGCUUGCUUCUCUGAUGUUAGCGGCGGACGUGUGAGUAACACGUGGAUAACCUACCUAUAAGACUGGUAUAACUUCGGGAAACCGGAGCUAAUACCGGAUAAUAUUUUGAACCGCAUGGUUAAAAAGUGAAAGACUGUCUUGCUGUCACUUAUAGAUUGAUCCGCGCUGCAUGAGCUAGUUGGUAAGGUAACGGAUUACCAAGGCAACGAUGCAUAGCGGACCUGAGAGGGUGAUAGGCCACACUGGAACUGAGAAACGGCCCAGACUCCUACGGGAGGCAGCAGUAGGGACUCUUCCGCAAUGGGCGAAAGCCUGACGGAGCAACGCCGCGUGAGUGAUGAAGGUCUUCGGAUCGUAAAACUCUGUUAUUAGGGAAGAACAUAUGUGUAAGUAACUGUGAACAUCUUGACGGUACCUAAUCAGAAAGCCACGGCUAACUACGUG
rnacentral:rRNA from 1 species